CAAUAGCGUAUAUUAAAGUUGUUGCAGUUAAAAAGCUCGUAGUUGGAUUUCUGGUGGGAGCGACCGGUCGGCGCUUAACGGCGUGUGCACUGGAGUUGUCUCUUGCCAUCCUUGAGGAGAACGUGUCUGGCAUUAAGUUGUCGGGCUUGGGAUCCUCAUCGUUUACUGUGAAAAAAUUAGAGUGUUUAAAGCAGGCAUUUGCUGUGAAUACAUUAGCAUGGAAUAAUAAGAUAGGACUUUGGUGCUAUUUUGUUGGUUUGCGUACCAAGGUAAUGAUUAAUAGGGAUAGUUGGGGGUAUUCGUAUUCAAUUGUCAGAGGUGAAAUUCUUGGAUUUGUUGAAGACGGACUACUGCGAAAGCAUCUGCCAUGGAUGUUCUCAUUGA
rnacentral:rRNA from 1 species